UAGUGGACCCCCAUUUAAUAAAGGACUCUGGAAAUCUGAGAACGACAGUGGAGGCUAGACCCGUGGAUCUUGUAAACUGUACCCCAGCAUCAGGAUGCCACAGUGGUUCAUAAAUACCAGGGAGAGUGCUAUUUACAGCAGGGUAAACUACAAAAGAGACGUUUAUGAUGUCACAGUGGAUCAGUCAUAAAUAUGACUGUCCAGAGAAAAGCACUACUCUAGCUCUACCAACCGGAUUAUUAUCUACCGGAAACCCAGCCUAAUCAGCUUAUUGUUUCCAUUAACGAGUAAUGUGUGACAAAUAUGCUUUGAAAAUAUCAAAAACUCUGAAAAAGAUGAGAUAACAGAGGCUCAAUAACUCAGAACAUUGGACCAGAGUGAAUUUUCGUAACUGCAUUAAAAUUGACAUUCCUGUUGAUAUGAAACCCGAGACUGGCAAAAUGAACUGCAAUAAGACAGAAGAGUCCUCAUGGGCUGAGCUUGUCUUGACAGGCACCUGCAUUCUUGUGACCCACGUAUAUCUCUGUCUUAGUAUUUAGCACUCUCUACUAUUCAGUGGUCUUGUACCCACUUUGGAAUAAAAGUUCUUUAAGGGCA